rnacentral:misc_RNA from 1 species
UACCGAGUUUUACCAACUCCCAAACCCCUCGUGAAACAUACCACUUGUUUGCCUCGGCGGAUCAGCCCGCUCCCGGUAUAAUUUAUAUAUCUUUUAUAAACGGGACGGCCCCGCCAGAGGACCCCUACUACCUAAACUCUGUUUUCUAUAUGUAAACUUCUGAGUAAAACCAUAAAUAAAAUCAA